AACCCCUCACCCCACUCUUAUUAGCAAGCCCAAAAACUCUAAGUGGAUCUUGAAAUUGGACAUUUGUGUAAUCGUUACUUUGGAAUGUCAUAAGUUCUACUUCUGGGGUGUGUGUGUGUGUGUGUGUGUGUGUGUGUGUGUGUGUGUGUGUGUUAGUUUUUCUCUCAGAGAAAGUAGAAGUGUAUGAGAGGCGUUGUCUGCAUGGCUGUUGAUAUCUGGUGUGUGGAUGCUGGCUUUUUAAAAGAUGCUUCGUGUGCUGGCGAGAUGGCUUAGUGGUUAAGAGCACUCACUGCUCUUCCAGAAGUCCUGAGUUCAAAUCCCAGCAACCACAUGGUGGCUCCCAACCAUCUGUAAUGAGUUCUGAUGCCCUCUUCUGGUGUGUCUGAAGACAGCUACAAUGUAAUGUAUAAUAAAUAAAUAAAUCUUAAAAAAUAAAAGAUGCUUCAUAAAUGUAGAGAAGAAUAGGUCAAAGUCAUAGUGUUCAAGAUGAAGUAUAAUUUCCCCUGAUGUGGAAUAGCCAGGAGGUACCAACAAUUGGUCGUUGGCUGUGCUGAGAAAGCAUGGCGGUCUGUAAAGUGGAGUGACCUGCAAGUCACAUACAACUCAGUCAUCCUUCACUUCUGAUCCAUCAGUCACCUCCUCAAAGGUCAAGACUUUCUCUCCAGGCUUGGGUGUCAGUCUUGUUGACACACAACUUGCUGUUGUUAUCCAUUGUGUAUCCUGGGUCUGCUCAGUACCACAAAUGUUCAGCUCCUUCACACAAAGACAUUCACCAUCGCAUGCCUACAUGUGCUCUCCCAUUUCUCUCUCUUGCCAACUGUCUCUUCCUACUGUAAUCUAUCGCAUACUUCCCACUGGUCUUGAAGAUGCCCAGUUGGAUGUUAGCCAGCUUCUUUCUGAACUCUUACCACAAGUGUUCCAGCCAUUGGGUCAAAUGUGCACACUUAAGUGGCAUUUACCAUCUUUCCGAGUUUACCCAAAGGUGCGUGUGGCCUUAUGUUCAUUAUCAACCUAUAAGGGCAUUGCGUCUGAGCACUGAGCACUGAGCACUGUCCUUCACACCAAGGAUGGCCAGGGGUGCUAUGAGCCUGACAAUGACAAUGUAACUAAGAGCAUGUGCAUCUGUGAGAGAAACAUGCGGGCAAGUUCCAAUGUGGGAGCAGACCAUGUUUCUGCCACCCAAGAAUCUAUCUGACAUGCAAAAGGACAGGAAGACAAGUCUCUAUUCAAGAUGUCCGCCAGCUCUGCAUCCUCAAUUCUGUGUCAUCUCUGACUGUCUUAAGUUUGUAGGAUGCCAUAGAUUCUACCCGCAUUAGCAGGAUGAUGUACCAUACAAGGACGUUUAGGCACCUUUACCAAGUGUUGAAAUAUAAAAAUCUAUCAAGAAGCACCAGGUGAGAUUUAAAGCCAGCCUGGAUUACAGAAUGUGAUCCUUCCACUGAGUCAGUCAUUCAGUCAUAGCAACUGAAAAGAAUUUAAAGGCAGCAUUUAUAGUAGUGUGUGUGGGGUGUGUGUGUGUGUGUAUGUGUGUGUGUGUGUGUGUGUAUGUGAGUUUGUGAGUGUGUUUGUGUGUGUGAGUUUGUGUGUGUGUUUGUGUGUGUGUGUGAGUUUGUGAGUGUUUGUGUGUGUUUGUGUGUGUGUUUGUGAGUGUGUUUGUGUGUGUGUGUGAGUUUGUGAGUGUGUUUGUGUGUCUGUGUGAGUUUGUGAGUGUGUUUGUGUGUGUGUGAGUUUGUGAGUGUUUGUGUGUGUGUGAGUUUGUGAGUGUGCUUGUGUGUGUGUGUGUGUGUGUGUGUGUGUGUGUGUGUGUGUGAAUGUGUGUGUGUAGACCCUCUGGAAGAUGGAAAGGGAAGUUAGGGGCUGAGUCAUCAGGGAGAGCAGGAGAGGUUGUGGAUCUGCAGGGUGGGAAGGGUUAGACACCUGUACAGUAGUCUAGGAUCCAAACCUACCAUAAUGACCCACUUUGCCCUAGAUCCUGCAUAUUCUACAGGGAUGAUUUUUUUAUUCUGUAUGUUUACCUCUGAGUGGCCAGGGAGGGGAAAUGGCAGGCUAUUGUCUAUUGCCCAGAGGCAUUCUAGACAUAGACCUCUGCCCUGGGGGGAAAGGGCUCUAAUUGGGACCAUUAUGACCAAGCAGGAAUCAGGUUCAUCCUUCUGGUCCCUGUGUUCAGGCUCCCAGAGUCAGAUCACCUCUGCUCACUGCCAGGCAUUCACGCAGGACAAACAGGAGAACAACUGAGUGGAGUAGCACAGCCUGAGGUAAUGUCUGAGUUUGGGGCCUCCUGCCCAGUCCAUAGGUCAUUUCUUCAGCCUGCACUGACAUCUGAGCUGACUUGAGCUACCAAGAGAAAGCAAGACUCAAAUAGCUCUGACUCAAAGAGAAACUUUCUGCCCGUUCAGAGUAUGGCUUGUCCCACAACAGACCCCACCUCCACACACACCAACUUCCGCCUUGACACUCCCCACUUCUGCCCCAAACAAAGUCCUUGGCAUCCCUAUCAGGAGUUUCAGUUUGUCUUUCUAACUCUAACCAAGGCCACUGCUCUCCACCUGUCUCUGGUACCCAUUCAGUGAGACCCUGGUCUUCUUUCUGCCGUGGUCAUUUCUCUGCACUCACACUCAGGCCUGGAGCAGGACAAAUGUAUAAAGACACCUGAAAUGCUUAGAAGAGGAUGGCUGCUGCACAAGUCCUGUGCCCAUGCAGAGAGGAGAUAAGGGAGGUUGUGUGAAUUCAUUCCCUGCAUCCGGUCUUCCAGUUUCAGAUGAAACACAGCUUGAAUGCAGUGAAAUGAUAACCUAAUGUUUGUUGCCUCUGAGUUUUUCUGGUGCCCUUGCUUCUCCAGCUUCAUUAAACCCUAGAGAAAGUAAAGUUUUGGUUCUUUGUUUUGGGCAUGUCCCCAAACACCACGUAAGCACAGUAGUCUCCUGUGUCCUUUGAGUUUGCUGCUAGAGUUGUCCUGAUUGUUUUUGAGUAAUUGCUUGUGUGCCCUUCAGUCUUCAGGUCCAGCUGUUAGUUGCAACUCUGAUAUGAGAGAUUGGUCUUCCCUCUUUGGAUACAAUUUUGUGCUGUGUAAUAUAUGUUCACAUGAUAAAAUUUCCCAAAGGGGUUAAUUUAAACAGAGUAUAUGAAAACAGCAGACCACCUGAAUUUUGUUCUGCUUUCAAUUCAUAAUACAUUAACGAAUGUCACAAAAUUGUUACUAUAAAUUGGACCUUAUACAACCUUCACCCAACAGAAACCUCAUACAUACAUUGUCCCUGGAUGACUUAAGUUCAUGUUAAAUGCAGGUGCCCCCCAAGGCCAGGCAAUCCUCUGCACCUGCAGUUACCCCCUGUGGUGUUGGGAGCCACCUGUGGGCACUGGCAACUCAUUGAAUCCUGGUCCUCUGCAAGAGCAGUCAGUGCCCUUAAGUGCUGAGCCAUCUCUCCAGCCCCUAAGUUACCAGGUGAAAUGAAUUAACUGGUAACAGCAUUUGUUAACUACAUUAAGAAAUUAUUAAUCAGGAUGGCUCUUCUAACUGUGUAGAGGACUAAGUUUAUGUCAUACGUCUUUUGGGUGUUUGAUUAGAAUGUUUGUAGACUUUGGGUGUGAUUAAUUUUGCUGUCUGAUUUUUCGUUUCACUUGACUUGUUGUUGUGAUCCUUUUUGUUAAACUUCAAGUUUUCAUUUUUUCUGCACAUUUCUCAAAUACAGGACUACAUAGUACUACAUAGUACUACAUAGUACUAACUAUAUACUCUCCUUACUAAUACACACAUACACACAUUUGAUAAUACUUUCUGGCUACUUUCAUAGUUGUGUACCCUUGAAAAUACAUUGAAGUACUCCCUAGAGUAUCAGAAUGUUUCUUUGUAUGGAAAUCAGGCUCUGGAAUUAUGAUUAUGAUAUUUGAAGAGGUGAUCAAAAACCAGGGUGAGAGACUUUUCCUUUUAAGAGAGAGAAAAACAGCACACACGUAUCUUAAAACAACAAAGCUGUGAGUUAGGCUGCUAUAAACGGAGACAUGCCAAGGAUUGUUCGCUACCCCAGGAGAGAGGCAAAGGCAAGCCAGUAUUUCCCGAAGCCUUAAAGGACCAUGUUCCUGCUGACUCCUGGAUUUCAGGUCCCUGCCUCCAGAACAGUGAGAGAAUUCAUUUCUGCUGUUUUAAGGCUGCUUUUAGUCAGUUGUUAAAUAAGGCACAGGGAGCUGAGACAUUACCUAAGAAAUCCAAAUACAGGACAGCAGCUGCAUGAAGAAAUUCAGUAAGGACAGGCAGAAUGGGAUGUAGCAGAAACACCUCUAAGUGGUUUAUUCCAGAGGGACAAACUCAAAAAAAAAAAAAAAAACAACAACAAUAAAAAAACAACCCCCAACUACUUUGGCCAUUCAUUCAAUGCCAAGUCAGAGGCUGAGGCAGGGGAAUGAUGUUACUCAUAUUCUGCUCAUUUUAUUUUUGAGACAAUCUCCUUCUGCUCUGGGGCUUACUAAUCAGGGUUGGCUGGCUGCCUAGUGACCCCAGGGACUCGACUGUCUCACCAGCACUAGGAUUCCAGGUACAAUCCCCCAUCGUGGACAUUAGUUAUGUGGGAUUUCUGCAUAAUAUUCAGGUCUUCAUAUUGGUGCGUCUAACAGAAUAGUGACUGAAUCACUCUCCCAUAUUAAACUUCAGGACUACAUAUUGCUUAUUGUGUAUCCUUAUUCUUUAAGCCAGGGUAUUUAGUGAGAAACUCGUGCUAAGUAAUGGAAAGGGGGAAAUAUACAAGAACGCAGCUACAUAUAGUGUGAGGUACACAGAUAUCCUCAGAAUUGGAGUGUAAGUAUUGGUUGCUGGAAAAAAUAUUGAUAUGCCAUGCUGUAGAGAGGUCUGCUCAGGAUUACAUUUUUGUAGUAUCAUCAAGCUUAUUCAAAUCUCAGCAGGAAUCUCAGAAGAAUCCAUUCCUAGAUGAGCAGUUACAGGCAAGCAAUGGUUGCAGAGAAAUGUCCAAUCAGUCUUUUCAGGGGUGUCAUCACCCGAAAGAUUAUCUAGGUCCAAGCAGUCAUGCUUAAAUGGUUAAACUUGGGAGCAGAAAUGUACAUAUGACGUGUGUAGAUAUCCAUUAUGCAUUAUCCAACUAAAGUGAAGCAAAGGAAAUCUUGGAUUUGAGAGGAAAGAGCAGGAGGAUAAGGAAGUACAUGGGCAGAAGAGAUAAGGAGAAACUGAUGUAAAUGCGGUACUUAUACAUAAUGUCACAAAACAUGAGUUAAAAUCAUGCAUAAGCUUCUAUUCAACCUUUGGGUGGGAGAUAAUGCCAAUGGCAGAUCAUCUUCUCCUGAGGAAGAGAUUCACAUGGACUAGGGAAAGUUGGUUUAAUCCACACCAGCUAUUAUUUCCAUAGUACAAACAUUCAAUAAAGAAAAGGCAAAUCCAAAUCUGUGAUUCUAAGAAUAUGUCCACUGUAACCAAGCACUGGGAUUACUGGGUGUAUAUUAAUCAGCUGGUGUUGCCUUAUGUCAUAUGAGCACAUGCUCCGUGAUUGUUUCGAUGUCCCCCUGUAAGACCUGAGUAGUUGAUUCUGUGGGUUUUCUUGUGUCCUUCACAUCCCUGGACCAUGCACUCAUUCCUCACUCUCUUCCACAGGAUCCCCCAAGGCCUGCCUAAUAUUUGGCUGUGAGUCUCUGCAUCUCUUGCCAUCAAUUGUUGGCUGAGGCCUCUCUGCUGAUGGUAAUGCAAGGCUCUUGUCUGCAAGUACAGCAGAUUAUCAUCAGAAGUCUCAGGGGUGGAUGCCCUAUCAGGGUAUGGGUCUCAAGCUGGUCCAGGCAUGGGCUGGCCACUCCCUCAAUUUCUGCUCCAUUUUCUCCCCAGCCUAUCUCGAAGGAAAAAUAAAUUAUAGGUCAAAGGCUUUGUGUCUGGGAUGGUGUCCCAAUACCUCCAUUAGAAGUCUUGCCUGGCUACAGGAGAUGUUCUAGAACUUUCAGUUGUGCUGUCAAGUCACUUGUAGGAGAUCUCUCCAGUUUCUUCAUGACAGCACUUAGUGCUGUGACUUUUCCUCUUAGCCUUGGGAGAGCCACAACCCUGAUCCACCCCUUCAGGCUCUCCUUUCCUCCCAGGUUACUGCCUACUGGCAUCCUUAAUAAAGGCCUAUAGCCUGUAGUACCUGUCAGUGGGAGUCUUGCAGGGGAUGGGGGGAAGGAGGCUCUGUCAGAAUUGGUGGCAGACAGGCAUGCCUACAGCUCCCAUUUCCCAGGGUCCCCUACACUAAUUUAUUUUAUCCUUAAAUAGGGAGCUCAGAGAUGUUAAGGUACAUAUGAGGGGUCACCCAGCAAAGCCUUGAUUCUGAUCUAGGCAGCCUGGCUCUGCUGUUCUCCUCUCUCUCCCAGACACCAUGCCAGCUGCCCAAGUAUGCUACCAUAGCCACACUGGCUAGGAAAUUGAGACCAGAGGCAUGGAUCCAUUUUUAAAAACUCGUGCAACACCAAGGCUAUAGAGUAUGUGUCGUAUCCUGAAGUCCAGGGUACUUCUGAUUGGCAGGAUGGAGUUACACCCAAGGACAGAAGAAUAGGGGACUGGUGGGAAACCACUGGACCUUGGCAAUUCACAAGCAUUCCGGAUGUUCACACCCAUGAAGGACACUUUAGCACAGAUCAUUGAUGUUAGUUGGUAAUAUUCUUAGUGUAAACAGGGCUGUGACCCUACCUUCAUCAAUAUAUUGGCUUCUGCAGACAUCAGCUGUGACCUAGGGUGCAGUGUAUCUGAACUCAACACCCACCUUAGUCUCUUGGUGUGGUGGAAAAGCACCUAGGAGGAGGACCAGAGGGAGCUGGAAGAUUGUGACGGAUGUUGUCGUUUCCAUACUGUCCUGGGUCUAUCUUGUGUUUCAGCCACAAGUACCAUGUCCAAUCCUGGUGAAGUCUGACCUGUUCCACACAGGACCAAAGUAUGCUCUCGUCUCUUCGGUCCCGUGGACAGUGAGCAGUUGUGCUGUAAUUGUUGUGCCCUCAUUCGGGCUGUCUCCAGGAGAGCCAAGAAUGGUGGAACUUUGAUGUCGUCACUUUCUUUGACUCCCAAAAGUCUGGGCAGGAAGGAGGAACCAUGUACAGGAGGAGCCUUUGAGAGAGCGGACAAGGGCGUCCCCUACCCUGUUUUUCAACAAACUUGCUUCCCUCCCGCCAUCCCGACAACCUCCCCGCCCCCCACGACAGCCACUUCAGUCAGGACAUUGCAACUCACCAGCGCACAGCGUAGACCCCAGACAGCUCAGAAAAACCAAAACGCAUGAAGCUCCUGUGAAUAGAGGAUGCUCAGCGGCUGUAUUCUCUGCCAUACCCGCCAUGAGCAACAGGUGUGACCUGAGCUGUGAGAAGCCGUGAGGAUUCUGUGCCGCCCCGCAGAGGAUCCCGCUCAGAGAUUCACGAAAAUGCCGGUCACCAACGCUGUAACUCCAGCAAUUGUCAGGAACUUUGUAGCUUGCUUGUCCCUCCGUGAGGAUCACAGCCACGCGGGAAGGCCGUCCGGCCAAACUGGGAGCCUGAACUCCACCCUCCAUAUGAAAUAGCAACUCCAACUAGGACAGAAAUCGGUACAAGAAUGUAGGAUAUUGCUACCACUGACCUGAUGAUGUGCUGUGGACAGGAUUGUUGAAGAACUUUGAGACAAUGGGCUUAUACCCUGAUAUAAGCUGACAAAUACAGUGGCGAAGAUUUGAACCUAGAGACGUUGAAUCUCCCUACAAAGUCCCCUGAGACAGAAGUCUUCAGCUGUGCAUGGACAGAUCCAACAACCACCUCAAGCAAAAGAGGAAAAGAGGAAGACAGGAAGGGAGUUUCCAGACAAACGACCAUAGAUUUGCUUCACAGGGAUGAACUGGACGCGUGGGCAAACACAUCUCCCACAUCAAACAUGUAUUUCCCCCAUCCAAGAGUCAAGAAUCACCAGAUAGGAGGGGCAAGAAAUGGUUCGAGAGCAAGAUCGGGUGGAAUGUGGUGAAAGGCUGUUCUCCAUCCAUGAGCUCACCAUCGAACUACUAAACGAGCAGCAGCUCUGAGAACUUGCUUGAUACCUCAUCAGGAGUGCACACACACACACACACACACACACACACACACACACACACACACACAUGAAAGCAGAGGCAGGAGGACCUUAAAGAAAGUCAUCUAGAAGGAAUGGAAAGGAGAGGCUGAUACAGGGUUGAUGUAGCUGAUUUACAUUUUAUACAUAUGUGGAAAUGUCAUAAUAAAACCAAUUGUUUUGUUGCCUUUCAGUAAAACACAUGCACGACACAGGUCACCUACAUAUGGAAAGCAUGACCCAGUCUGUAUAAACAAUAAUGGUUGUCCUUGCCCUUGCUGUAGAAUCUUGGUGAAGGCAGUUAGUUGAGCAUAUUGUCUAAUACGGAACUACCUAGAAUGGACCUAAUUCUACAACCUCUGGGAGACUCAGGUCAAGUACCACAAAGGCCUGUGUCCUCACACUAUAAAAUGACUUCCAGGGUUGAGACUGGCGGUAAUGCACCUGCUGUAAAGUCUGACAGGAUCUAUAGCAAUCUCCAUAGCGUGUAGGACAAGCUCAGGUACUUGCUGGUUGGAUUUUCUGAGACCGAAUGGAAGGCAGGCUCUUCACUUGGGAGCCUCAUGAUCUGGAGGGCAGUGACUAAUCCUGCUAUGUGAAUAGCUGACUUGGUCAGGGUUGAAAGCAUUGUGUCUGCAGAGAAUUGUCACCUACGUUAAACAUGGAAACCUAUACACAACAUGGAAGAAGAAAGGUCUCUCUUUGCCUGCUUCUGUCCCCCUUUGCUAGAAUGACUCACUGGCACUGGAAUCUACAUCCUUGGAAUACUCACAAAGACUGAAAACCAGCUUAGACAUCCAGUUUCAUAAACUGGACCGUUUCUGGAUCCCUGGACUUUCAGUACUUAGGCCUAAGGUUGGAUUUGCUAGAUGAUGGCAUGGAAGCCAUUCCAAUAAUAGAUAGAUAGAUAGAUAGAUAGAUAGAUAGAUAGAUAGAUAGAUAGAUAUGCAUAUAUGAAUAUAUGCAUAUAUGUGUGUAUGUAGAUCCCUAUAUACAGUGUAUAUUCAUGUAUAUAUGUGCAGUGUAUAUGUGUAUAUGUAUAUAUACAUGUGUGUGUUGUAUGUAUGUGCUAGCUAUUCUUGGUUGUCAACUUGACUACACUUGGAAUUAACUAAGAUAGAAAAAUGGGCCACACAUAAUAGUGAUUUUGGAUUAAUACAAAGUGGAAAAAUUCUAAUUCUAAACAUGUUAUUGAAUGUUGGAAAACACACAGUUAAUCUCGAUCUACUGACCUGGGAAAAACCUACCUUUAAUAUAGGCCAGACUUCUGCUUGAUGUUCAUAUAAGCAGAUGGAGGAGUACAUAUUUGCUAUUCCCCUUACUGCUCCGGCUUUGCUAGCACGUCAAUCUCUUCCCUGUCAUUAGAGCCUAUCACUUCAGGAUUUGAGCGUAUACUGGAGACCACCUGAGUCAUCCAUCUUUGGUACUGAGUAAAUUCUGGAUUCUUGGUCUUUCCAUUCCUAGGCAGUCAUGGCUGGAUUAUAUGGCCUCCAGCGUGCAUGUCAUUGUAAUAAAUCACCUUUGUAUAUA